GCCAGGUCACAGAGGUUUGGAUUCCCUGCUCCAUGUACUGGCCAGGUCACAGAGGCUGCAUUCCCUGCUCCAUGUACUGACCAGGUCACAGAGGUUUGGAUUCCCUGCUCCAUGUACUGACCAGGUCACAGAGUUUGGAUUCCCUGUUCCAUGUCCCAUGUAUCUCUCAUGGGCUGGACUCCCAGGAGCAGCUGCCCCAGUACGUUUUUGGGCUGAGGAAGCAGAGCCGACAAGCCGGAGCCCUCGCCACGUCCCUGGGGAGACAGAUCCGUGUGGGACAAGUGGAUCACAGGAAUAAGAGAAAAGAGGGACUUGGAAGAGGCGACAGGAAUCAAGGGCUUGUGCCAGUUUAUCCCCAAAUCAUAAACCAGGGAAAGACAAGGAAUGUGUAUAAAUAAAAGGAGUCAGGAGAGACCAUAAACCCACGUGUUGGUUUGGGAGAGAGGAGACACUGCAGCUGCCCUGGAGCAUCUCCAUGGGAUGAACUACAGGGAUGGGAGGGAUUUUAAGGAGAAAGAGGGAUGUUAGUCACAGGCCCAGGGACUUCUAGGAAUCCCAAGCUCCAGUUUUGUCCCUUCAAUGUUCAUUCACUCAUUUGACAUCAAUGACCUGUGGGAUUUGUGGUCAGAGCCCACACACCGGAGCAUGGAGUACAGGAAGAACAAAUCCCUGUUCAUUCCAGCCGCCUGGAAUCACACCUCAGAGCUGCAAGGAGGUGAGUAAGCAAGAAGUGGGUAUGAGGGACCGGUACAUCCCUCAUCCAUCUGCCCCAAAGGCUGAGCUCUGUGUCCCACUGUCCGGUGUCCCUCUGGCAGCCACGGCACAGGGAGCUCUGGCUCUGGAAUUUGCCAGACUGGGAUGGUUAUUGGGAGCAGAGUGUGGUUCAGGGAAGGCUGGGGAGCCCGUGUCCUCUCCCUGUGACCCUGCAGACUCUCCCAGCAAAGCAACAAUGCUGAUUUUAUCUGGGCUCCCCCGAGGUUCUGCCAGACCACUAUUAGUGGAUGUUGUUUAUAAAUGCAAAGUCAAACCUCUUCCUCAAGGCACCUCUUCCCCAGGGAAAUGACUCCAAGCUUCCAGUUCAGCUCAUCCUACAGCCACAGGUGCUCCCAUCACACCAGAACCAGCAACACCACCGUCACCUCUGUGUGAGGUUGGACGGGACUCUGGGCAACCUGGGCUAGUGGAAGGUGGCCCUGCCCGUGGCAGCCGGUGGGAUGGGAUGAGCUUUAAGGUCCCUUCCAACCUAAACCACUUCAGGAUUCCAUGUGCUGGUUUAGAUUGGGAUAUUGGGAAGAAAUUCUUGGCUGCCAGGGUGGUGAGGCCCUGGCACAGGUUGCCCAGAGAAGCUGUGGCUGCCCCAUCCCUGAAAGUGUGCUCCCAGGUCGGAUGAAGCUCUGGGCAGCCUGGUCUAAUGGAAGGUGUCCCUGCCCAGGGCAGAGGGUGGAACCGGAUGAACUUUAAGGUCCCUUCCAACUCAAACCAUUUCAGGCUUCUAUGACAGUGCUGUCCCAGAGGAAAUGAGCAGAAAGGGAGAGGAUGGAACCUGAUCAAUGGGAACCCUGAGUCAAAAAACAGGUGGGCGGGGAACUGCCUUUCCCUGCUCUCAUUGUCUGGAUUCAGGAGCCCCGUAAGGUACAGGGCACCGUAAACACCAAAAAAGCACAAGCUGAGAAGGAAAUGGUCACCUAAAAGUCUAGAAGUUGCCUGAUGCCUUUAGAUAAAUAACCAAUAAAUUGACAGGAAAAUCUAUCAACUGCACAGGAGGCAAGAGAGACUUUUUGGGGCUAUGAGGCUCUGCAGCUCCA